AAUUACUCUAAAUGGUUGUUUUUUGGAUUUGAGGGUAAAGUAUUUUCUUUAUUCUUGCAACUCCCACAGUCAGUUGCAGUUUAUCCACUGCUGAGGGCAGGUGAAGGUUUAGCUCAGCAAUGAAGAUGUCAGCCACCUCUCCAAAUCACUGCUUCUCUCCAUCUGGAAACUUGCCUUGAGAUGACCACCCUCUGCAAUCUGGUGGUGCCUUAUGCCAUGGUACAUCAAAACUGAGUGUGCAAAGUCCAUUACCAAUAUCUUGGAACAACAGAGGAAGAAAUGAUAACACUAAAGCAGAAAUACACCAUCCUGAUUGCAGUAACAGAGCUGAGAGAAGGAACUGGACAUU
rnacentral:lncRNA from 1 species